AACGAACGCUGGCGGCAGGCUUAACACAUGCAAGUCGAACGCCCCGCAAGGGGAGUGGCAGACGGGUGAGUAACGCGUGGGAAGCUACCCAGUUCUACGGAACAAGUGAGGGAAACUUCAGCUAAUACCGUAUACGCCCUACGGGGGAAAGAUUUAUCGGAAUUGGGUGAGCCCGCGUAAGAUUAGCUAGUUGGUGGGGUAAAGGCCUACCAAGGCGAUGAUCUUUAGCUGGGCUGAGGGGAUGAUCAGCCACACUGGGACUGAGACACGGCCCAGACUCCUACGGGAGGCAGCAGUGUGGAAUAUUGGACAAUGUGCGCAAGCUUGAUCCAGCCAUGCCGCGUGAGUGAUGAAGGCCUUAGGGUUGUAAAGCUCUUUCAGUGGGGACGAUAAUGACGGUACCCACAGAAGAAGCCCCGGCUAACUUCGUGCCAGCCGCCGCGGUAA
rnacentral:rRNA from 1 species